rnacentral:tRNA from 1 species
GGAUUGUGGCUCAGUGAUAGAACACCUGCCUAGCAUGUGUGAGGUCCUGGGUUCGAUCCUCAGCACCA